CAACGUAGGUAAUCUACCUUUGGGUGGGGAAUAACAACCGGAAACGGUUGCUAAUACCGCAUAAUGCAGCGGCACCGCAUGGUGACAGUUGUUAAAGCGGGGGAUCGCAAGACCUCGCGCCUAGAGAGGAGCCUGUGGCGGAUUAGCUAGUUGGCAGGGUAACGGCCUACCAAGGCAACGAUCCGUAGCCGGCCUGAGAGGGCGGUCGGCCACACUGACACUGAAAUACGGGUCAG
rnacentral:rRNA from 1 species